AACGAACGCUGGCGGCAUGCCUAACACAUGCAAGUCGAACGAGACCUUCGGGUCUAGUGGCGCACGGGUGCGUAACGCGUGGGAACCUGCCCUUAGGUUCGGAAUAACUCCCCGAAAGGGGUGCUAAUACCGGAUAAUGUCUUCGGACCAAAGAUUUAUCGCCUUUGGAUGGGCCCGCGUUGGAUUAGCUAGUUGGUCGGGUAAAAGCCUACCAAGGCGACGAUCCAUAGCUGGUCUGAGAGGAUGAUCAGCCACACUGGGACUGAGACACGGCCCAGACUCCUACGGGAGGCAGCAGUGGGGAAUAUUGGACAAUGGGCGAAAGCCUGAUCCAGCAAUGCCGCGUGAGUGAUGAAGGCCUUAGGGUUGUAAAGCUCUUUUACCCGGGAUGAUAAUGACAGUACCGGGAGAAUAAGCUCCGGCUAACUCCGUG
rnacentral:rRNA from 1 species